AGCAGCCGCGGUAAUUCCAGCUCCAAUAGCGUAUAUUAAAGUUGUUGCAGUUAAAAAGCUCGUAGUUGAAUUUCGGGGUCAGCAAGUUGGUCGUGCCACUGGUAUGUACUGGCUUUGCUGAUUCCUCCUUCUUGUAGAACCGUAAUGCCAUUAAGUUGGUGUUGCGGGAAAACAGGACUGUUACUUUGAAAAAAUUAGAGUGUUUAAAGCAGGCUAACGCUUGAAUACAUUAGCAUGGAAUAAUGAAAUAGGACGACGAUCCUAUUUUGUUGGUUUCUAGGAUUGACGUAAUGAUUAAUAGGGAUAGUUGGGGGCAUUAGUAUUCAAUUGUCAGAGGUGAAAUUCUUGGAUUUAUUGAAGACUGACUACUGCGAAAGCAUUUGCCAAGGAUGUUUUCAUUAAUCAAGAACGAAAGUUAGGGGAUCGAAGACGAUCAGAUACCGUCGUAGUCUUAACCAUAAACUAUGCCGACUAGGGAUCGGAUGAUGUUAAUUUUUUAAUGACUCA
rnacentral:rRNA from 1 species